rnacentral:misc_RNA from 1 species
CAGGCUUGAUCGGGUGGCAUUUCGAUCGUCCGGCGGCCCCCUUGUGGUGUCGUCGGUCGGUCGCGUGUUUCUCGACAUGCUUUGGGACGACGCGUGAGUGGCUCUUAGGGCGUGAUCCCGGGGCAGGCUCCGUGCUUCUGCAUCGAACUGCCCCGGUCCUUCCCUCUCAUUAGUUGUGGUCCGCCGCGGUCCUUUAAGGGCCGGUUGCGGCCGCCGGUUGGGUUCCUGUUCUGGAUAUCCGAAUGCGGUAGUCGGAAGGAUUCUCGUCCCCGUCGUGGUACCGUCCGCCCGCCCGCUCCCCCUCCGGGGAGCCGGCGGAUAUCAUGGUGCGGCCGUCCGACGUUCUCCAUCGGGAAAGCCGACCCCGUCUCGGGCGCUUCUCCUCUCGAUGGCGCGUUGGUGCUGCCGGGCAUGCUCUCGGGUACGGAGAUCUCGUCGGUUGUCGCGCCGGUCCUCGGUGGCCGUGGCGAUCCAGACGUGUCGGAGCGCUGACGCUUCUGCUCGCGUGACCCUCGUGCUUGCCUCCGUGGGAUCGCGGAUCCUAACCCGUUCGCGGUCGCGUCGGGGGCAGGCGUCGAGGCUUCCGGAGGAACGC